UGCGAUGAAAAUUACUUGUAACAACUCGUAGAAAGUUUAUCAUUGUAAUUAUAUUCGUGUUAAAUUAUUGUGUAUAAAACUAAGAAUCAUUUAAUGUUACUCGUCCCAUGUAACGAAGUAACGAUAUUUCACGAAAAAUGGAAAAAUACGCAGAAUUUAUCGCGAGUAAAUCUUCUUUAAAUUUAUGGCCGAAAGUUAGUCGAUAACGACAAUCAUGGAGAUUAAACGAAAGAGAGAGAGAGAGAGAGAGAGAGAUUGGGAGCAGUCGAAAAAAAUAUAAAUGUUUCAGAAUCAAAUUCAAUAGAGAUUAUUCGCUUUCUAAGAGGAUUCGCUUCUCUUUUUUUUCUUUUUCUUUUUUUUCUAAUAGCGAUAGUAAUUUUCGACUUUAAAAAUAGAUACAGUAAAAUUCUAAUAAUCUGUCGUGCCAAGACCUUUGACAUUAUCAAACUGACUGGAUUAUUGAAUUACUACUAUUUCAUUAUGAAACAAGGAAAAUAAUGUAAAAAGAAAUCAUAGUUAAAUCCUGAUUACGCUAACAUGGAUCUUUUUUAAAUAUUUAAGAUAGUUUGAUCGCAUAGCAAGAUUAUUUAGAUUAUUUUUAUCGUUGCGUCCAGAAUUGGACUAUAAUCAUUGAUCAAUAAUAAAAUAAAAUAUAUUUGUACAUCAUGUUUAUUCAUUAACAAUUUAUUAAUCGUAAUAAUUAAUCAUUUUAUACAUAUUACUUCAUAUAGAUUUCAUUUGAAUCGAUAGAAAAAUUUUUGACAUGUAUAAUACGUUUCUACAUCAAAAAUUUCAGCUCCUGUUGAAAUUUUUAUAUAGAUUAUACAUAUAUUAUCUAUAAUUUAAAACUAUAUAAAAAAAAAAUCUUGAUUGAUCAAAAUUAAAUGGAUUAUAAUUUUUAAUUAUUUUUUUUAAUUAAUGAUACUGAUUAUUAAACAAUUUUAAAUAGUGAUUAAUAAUAUGAUUUUACAUUAAUUUAAUAAUUAAUCAGAUUACGUAUAUAAUAAGGAAAAGCUUGUUUGAUAAAUUUACUUUUACUAAUUCGUAUAAAAUUAUGUUAUCGAUAAAAGUUUUAUCUCUAAAUAUACGAAAAUAAAUCACUCGUAUAUAUCUGUGAAAUUAAAUUAAUUCUUGAAUGAACGCAUGAUUCUCAAAAAUGUAAAAUAACAAUAUUGAUUAUCGAGUGUUAAACUGGGGGAAUUUAACGAAAUUUACAUGCAUUGCUUUAGCAAGUUUUCAAACUUAAAAACUCCACUGCUUCCAAAUUAUUUUAUUUUUUCCCUGAUUUCACUUUUCGCCGCAAAUUUCACGAAUUAAUCGAAACUUUUUCCUCGUCCAUCAACCAAUGGAAAUCCAAUCCGAUGAGGUGACCAACUUUCCUAAAGGACGGCAGCUGGCGUUAAUAAUGAUGGAAAGAUUUCGUAUAAUGCCGGUUAUUAAGUUCUUCUCCGCAAUUAUCUCGUGAAAGAUACAAAAUUUUUCGAUAUUAUGCGACAUAUUAACCGAUUAACGAGUCAGAAAUCAAUGCGAGCUUCUGCUACACAAUCAUGCGUAACGAUAAUCGAUAAUGUAAUCGAACUUGCCGUCACUCUUUUAUGCAUAACAAAGUAAUUUUCACUAAAACAUGUCCGUUAUAUAAUUACUCAUUAUCAUUUACGUAACGUCGUAAUCAUCGAACUAAAAAAAAAAAAAAAAAGAAGAAGAAAAAAAGAAUACGAAAUAAAGGAGAUGGGAUGAAUAUUCAACGACGAGACGGAUUACGUCAGAUAAAAAAUAUUUUUCUGAAAGGAAAUUAAUUCUCGAUUGGGAAAAAUUAUUUAAAAAUUUGAAAGACUCGAUACAUGGUCGAUAGAUAUAAAAUUAAUCCGUCGUUAACACGGUCGAAUCUAACAAAGAUUCGUCGACACUUGAUUUAUAAUGGAACUUCGUUCCAUUCAACGAAAUCGAUUCGAUUCAAUCGCGUCUAACCAAAACGUUGCACAGAAACGAUUGCCACUGUCCGUGUCAUUUUCGAAAGUCGGUCGAGGCUAUUGCGACAAGGGACAAGUCGUUGGGAAACAACGUAAAGGAGAAAGGGGCAUUUUAUUCAACGUAGAAGAAUCAACUACGAAUUUCGGAUUGAACGUUGAACGUUGUAAAAUUAAUUCAAGAGGUUAUGUCACGUGCCUCCGUCCCAUUUCGCUAACUCAUUGAUACGCGUACAACUUUGAAUCACUUUCAGAUACGAUCGUGUUUUCUAAUUAAAUUAAUUCGCCGAUCGAUUGAUUAUUCGAUCAAAAAUUUUCCACUCCUGUCGAACAAAUGGUGUCGUUAAUGUGUGCCACUUUUCGCGCCAAAUUUAAAUUCGUCUCUUCGUAAAUAAAUUUAAACUUUUUUCUUCGUCCCUCAAGAAUUUUCAAACAACUUUCUGCUUUUUUCGGAAAGCGUUAGCGGAAAGUAUAGAAGAUAAAAAGAAGAGGAAAUACGUUUGAUAAGAGACGCUAACAGUGUAGUUGAUUUGAUACGAAUGUUGCAACAUAGUGUAUAAGCGUAUCGUUCCAUUUCUUUCCAUUAUUUCUAUCCUUCUUCUCCAAUUCUUCUAUUUCUAUCCGUUGACAUAAAUCUUUUUUUCAUUAAGAUAUAUUUCUUACGAUAAGCUCGAACUCGACAAAAUACGAAUCUAUCUUUUCCUACUAAAAAUAUAUAACGAAAAAACAUUGAUAGUAGAUGGAGAGGAGAGGAAAAAAGCGGGGGAAAGGAAGACGAAUAAAACGGUUAUAAAUGAGUGUACGAAAAAAGAAGAGGAGAAAGAAACGAAAAGUAUCCAUAAUAUUUGAUGAGGCGUUACCAAAGGAGGAAGGAGGCGGAGGAAGGAGUGGAGGGGUAAGCAACCUGGAACAAACCGUGCACGAACAGAGAGAGGAGGUUUUCCCGUGGGGUAGAGUGUAAAGUUGCGCAGGUCAAGUCAGGUCAAGACACUCUAUAAGCGAACGAAAUAAAGGAUGAGAGAAAACAAAUAACCACGAAAAAUUGUAACGAGCAUAAAACAACAAGUUGGAUACACAAUUCCAGCAUUACGUAUUAAUAUAAAUGCCAAGUUAUAUAAUACGAAUGUCAACGAUGCAAACAAGAUAAAAGAAAAAUAAUAAUAACGAUAAUCAUAAAUGUUUAUAUUUUGAUUGAUUGUGUUCGUGUAAAAAUCUAUAUAUUUCAUAAAAUCUGAAAUAGCAUUCGUUUUCACAAUGGCGCGUGCAAACGCGUACUUUAUUUCGACUCGGCAUGAAACAAGUGCGGGGCAUCCGAGUGGAGGGGCGACGAGUCUUUUAAAUUUUGUAAGAUUAUUCUCUUUCACGAGAAUGUACAAUGGGGAUCGUUGAAGCGUUUCGACAUGACACGACAGGACAUGAUUCGACACGAUACAAUACUAGAGACGCGCGCGUGACAUGCGUCCUUGCCACGUGCACAAACAAAUACACAUUCACGUGAUCAUGUUGUAGGUUUACAUUUCAUUUUAAGUUAUAGAUCAUUAAAUAAGCUCGUAUAUUUAUACAUUCUAUUAUCGAGUUAUUCGAUUCAAUGUUUUUCAAAAACAACGAUUUCUUUUUAAAUUGUAUCGUUGAAAAUAUUUUUAUACGUGAAAUUUGCUAGUUUACUACACUUGGUGAAAUAAAACGUCGAGGUAUUAUGAUAUGAAAGUUAUAAAUUUUAUUCAAAAUAUAUAUAUAUAUUUCACGAAAUUUGUUUAUCGACAACCUUCCCCUUCCAAUACUCUACCCUCGUUCUGCUACCCUUUAGUACCGCCUACUAUACCGCCUCCUCAUUAUCGAAUCGUAUGAAAAUUUACGUAAAUUUGUUGCAAGAAUAAAAAUUUAAAAUAAUACGAUUCAUCGAGAUUUGAGGAAAUUAACUUUUUUGCUCGAUCGUUCGAUCGAGACAGGAAUAGCAGAGGAAAAAAGUAGCGCGUUCGCUGAAGACGCGAGGAUGGGAUGUGCGAAUGCGCGAGGUGCGAGAUGCGAAAUGCGAUCACGUGGCGGGACACGCGUCGACGAACUCUCGGCUCGAGCCGAAAACGGCCAGGCUGCACGGAGAGUGGUUGCGUCAUCGUGCCCCGGACCUGUGACCGCCCCGCGCGUUCGCUUCGCGAUAUUCGAGAGGACCUUCGAAUGCCACACGAGUCUAGUCGCUCCUGGAAUGAGCAGUUAAGCGAAUGAACGAUCGUCCGCGAUUAACCUAUGACAAUGUUUGAUAAUAGGCACCUUUAUUGAGGAACGUGGUGGUCCAUGGAUAAAUGUCGGUGGUUGAAGGUGUCUCAGCCGGCGCAGCGCCGUACGCGCGAAACAUCUUCUUCCGCUAUGUGAGUUCGUAUGAUCCGAUUACGGUCGCACAAUCGAUUCGUUGAAUUUCGACGCGAUGUUUCACCGAUCGUUUACUCCUUACUCCAAAAAUCUUUUUGAUCCUCUCGUGUGCUCUUGUCCUUAAACUCUUUCCCCGGUCCGUCGUCCACUCGGCCCGGCUACGGUAGUCACUGCGCACUUUGAACUUCACCUCGGUAAACAAUCUCGGAAACAAGCUCGGUAAUUCCCGAUUCUUGAUAAGUUCGACACUACACGGACAACACGGAGUAAAUGCACGCAACGGGACGUGAUCAAAGCAUCGGAAGUUUCGAGUUUAUGCACAACACACAUACGGACAGGAACGGCACACUAACGGGCGCGACAGUCAGACCGGAGCAUGGGAGCACCGGAGUACCGGGGUACCGUUCGCCGAUGAACCCUAGAUAAAGUUUCCUCCUCCACUAUCGAGUCACCGAACACACACAGACGAUCUUCGAUUCCACACUGCUACCUGCCGCGCACUUCUGUUUCUGUUUCUAUUUUUAUUUCUAUUUCUAUUUCUAUUCCCUUCCUUUCUUCCUAAUUUUUUUCCGUCUCUCUUCUUUUUUCUUAUUAUAUCUCUUCUCGAUUCCACUAUAUUUUCUCGUGCUUCAUCGAUCACCAACUAAGACACGAAGUACAAGUUAUAUCGUAACUUUUACGGUAUAUCGAAGCACAGAAGGUUAAGCGGUGUAUCUGCAUUAGCACGAAGAUAAUCGUCGUCUCACGGCCAACAAGGUGAGAGUAGUAGUUGCUACGUCAAGAGUUUACGCGAUAGCAGCGAAACGAACGGAAAAGUCGUCGCGCGCACUUUGCUCCGAUUCUGCUUCUGUUUCGAAAACAGAUCGUCGACCUUUUUCUUCACACUUUGCCGCUUCUUUCUUGAGUACUUGAUUCGUUAACUUUCGAUCAACGUACGCGACACUAUCAAUUAUUUGUUUUUGGAAAAAGGCGUGGUUACGAUUAUGAUCACUGUUACGGUUCCAACUGCGAUUGCGCGACGCGUGCGGACACAAGAUACUACGAUACGCGCUGUUCGAGGUUCGCUGAAGGAAUGGCCGCUCCGCGAUGGUCCCCGGCCCCCAGGCGUGGGAGGAAGCUGGUAGUGCGCGGUGGUGCGGCGCGGUGAGGCAAGCUAUUGCGAGACGAGGCGAAACGAACGUGGUGAGACGAAGCGAAGCGAGACCAACCGAAGAGAGGCGAAGAGCGGUGAGACGAGACGAAGUCCAUGGCGGACAUGCAUGUACGCGAUGUGCGCACCGACGACCGCUCUGCCAACGCGUUUGUCGUGUAGCGCGCGCACGCGCGGGCACCCGCGUUCAUGCUCGUGUCCGCUCGUCCACGAGCGCGACAGAGUUAGAGCACGCGCGCAAAAGGGAUCGAUGGCGCCGUGGUGAAGCCUCCCAAACCACUACUCGCCAGUGUCACAUCGAGCGAAAAAGUGCUAUAUGACUGACGAGGAUAGUUACAAGAGUCGUCCACGAGUACACACUGGCAGAGUUUCACAUAUGUGCACAUACGAGAUAUAGAAAGAGAGAAAGAGAAGGAGAAAGGGCUUACGCCAAAGACAAACGAACGAAGCGAGUUCGAACGAUGUAUACGAGAUACGACUCGAUGACGUACAUGGGCAAGGGGGCGGGAAGUAAGAGACGGAACGCACACCGCAGGGACGUAAACAGAAUCUCAUAUGCCCCCGACAUAAAUGUUACGUAUGUUUUUACUUUGCAAUUCGUCACAUCUUUUAUUUGCAAUCAUAAAUACGAGAGACGAUAUUUAAUAUGUCGGAUCUAUUAUUACACAACUGGCAAUUGAAUCGAACGAUUUCGAAUACGCAAUCAAACGAUUCUUUCAACAUACGACCUUAAAUGGUUAAAAUUCGUGGUUAUUAUAGAAUUAACGUAAAAUUUAUAUUUAAAAGAAUUUAUGAGAGAAGAUAAUUUGAUGAAAGAUAAAAAAAAAGACUCGAAAAGUAUAUAUAUAUAUAUAUAAAUAUGGAAAUAUACGAGCGUAACAAAUAGGUUUUAUAUGAAUAUACUAGGAAUAAAAAUGGGAAGUGGUAUGUUGUAUAUACAUAUGUAUUAAUCUGUAUAAAUAUACGAAUAGAUUUAGAGAUAUUCUUCUAUAUACAUACAUAUGUAUAUAUAUAUAUACAUAUGAAACGCGUGCGACCCCUUGGUAGCAUGGCCACAUUGCCCCCGUUCACUGCUUCAGCAUUGAAACGCGAUGACUCAAAAACAACCGUGUGCGGUACAUCAGCAUAUUUAUGUAGCGCAUCUAUUGUCUUCGAUAUCAUUGAUAUCUAUAUAUAUCGUAGAUCAUUUCUCUAUUUAUCCACUUUACCAUUCAUAUCAUAUUAACAUUUUUUUGUCUCUUUCCCUGCUAUUUGACGGUUCUCAAUCGCAAUUCGAUCGACUCAUCGAUGACUAUGAAUCACUGAACUACUCAUCGAAUUCAAAUGAAUCAGCUACGCUAAGCUGGUUUUAGCUCCUAAUUUUUCUUCUAUGUUGGAACUUUGCCGAAAUAGAUCAAAGUUCGUCGAUUUCAAACGAAAUAAGAUAAAUUUUCAUAAAUCGACGCGAAAAAUUUUAAAAUUCUCUUUCCGAGUUUGUUCAUAAAGAAUUAUGAAGAAUGCUUAAUGUUAACUUUAUACGUGUGUUAUAUUAUCCAAUAAAUUUACAAUAUAAUAUUAUUUAAUUACGUAUUACGAAAUUAUAUAAUAUUUGUAAGUAAAGAAACUAGACCACGAUUCAAGAAAUAACAAAAAUAUUCUAACGUUUUGUCCAGACCCGUAGAACCACGAUGUGGAGGAACUCGAUAAUACGCUCAAGGUUGUCUGCUUGCGAAUGCUUAUAUAUGCGAUUCUCUAUACACGUGAUAUCGCGAAUAUGAAAUCCGCGAACAUUGUUCCGGUGCGCCGAUUUCUUUGGUCACGUGUCAAAUUCAACUCGAAACUAUUAUACUAUUAUUCGUCAGUCAUUAACCUCUGUUCUCCAUCACAAUCUUAUACAAUUGUGUCUUUACCAGCAAUUGUCUUGCAUUUUUCCAAUUCGAAACGCUGCUUCUGAUUGCUAUUUCUGUGAACUGAAUCGCUCGAAUGAUAAUACUUAGUACUACGUACAAGUUAUUUACACGUGCAUCUAUAUAUAUAUAUAUAUAUCGGUGGGACUCAGUAAAGAUAACACUCUUCGUCAUCGUCACACUUCUCCGUUACAGUUUUGCAACACAAACAUAAUAUUGUACACUAUCGUUAAUUAUAUUUCAUCAUUUCGAUAUGCAUCAACACUCCAAUUUAACGUGGAAAAUAUAAUAUUGCUAUUUAUUUAAUAUAUACCUGUUAUAUACCUUAACGUAUAAUAAAUACGAUAUUCAAUCGCAUGCGCGCAUUUUAUUUUAGAACUGUUAGCAGUCUUAAAAAAAAAAAAAAAAAAAAAACAAAAGAUAUCUUUCGUUAAACACAAUAUGCAGUACAAAAAGCUAUAAAGCUACUGCAGUAUUAAGAAUUUAUCUUCGAUUAAUUGCAAAUGUACAAAUGAAUAUCCCCGUUUUGUCACAUCAUUUGUAAACGAUUAUACACGGUGAACGGUGCACGUGCGGUAAUAUCUAUAUAUAUGUAACGUUUCUACGGCAACAAGAGGCAUACCGAUACGAAGGAUGCUUUAAUCGAUGUUCAAGGUUAAACGACAGAAUUAUUAGCGCUCGCACUUGUUGCGACACAACUCGCGGUCGUUUCGCGGUUCGACCAACGUCGCACUGAUACGUAGACGUUGGCAUUUUAUGACGCACACCCGUUACAUAAUUGUUCAACAUCGAAAUGAGCAUACCUAUAUAUCCUCACCCCCGUUUAUCGUUUCUCCAAUUGAAAAAGUUCGUUGCUCGUCAAUAUUCCUAUCUAUAUCACGAGCGACAUCUGACAUCUGUUUUCACGCAAUUUUUAUGCAAUGAUUAGCCAAAACAAAACGUUUCGAAUAAUUCCAGCGUAAAUCCUUUCAAGCACGAGAAAAAUGAUAAACAUUAUUUUUAGAAUAAAUAUAAUUUGAUAAUAUAGGGAAUAUCAGAAGUUAGAAAAAUAACUAGGCCUUCCGUUUUUUUUCGAAUAACCUCAAUGAUCCAUACAUUCGUAUUUCGUAAAUAAUAUGUUAACAGAUUGAUGACAAUCAUCGAUAACGUCGAUGAAAAUUGUAAACACCAGAGGGACGAAGGAAUUUGCGUACGUAGCUUUAUCGUGAAAAUUAGUGCACACAUAAAUGAGGUUGUAUAUGAGCGCAUGCGCAGUACUGAAUUCGAUCGAACUGCGCAACAGUAUGGAAUUUCACAAAGCAGAAACGCAAGUUGCACAAUUUUGAAACACAUUCUAAAUUAAUAUAUUCGUAUUCUUUAACGAUUAUGGUCUUCAUAUUAUUUACUCAAUCGCUUCACUAGGAGGUCCCGUCGAAAGGAAUGAUAUAACUCUGAUAAUUUCAUCAAAGAAAGAAUCAAACAAAGAAAUAUCGAACGAAAGAGAAAAUGGCGAGAUCGAAAGCAAGAAACGAAGCGUUGAGCUUGGUUGAAACGGUUGGCCCCUAAGCUAAAAUAAGCGGAAGCCGAGCUGCUCUGAUUAACGUGGAAGUUUCGAUUUCAACUUUAAUUUCGACAUUGGUCUGCGCCCAAUUCCGGCUUACACAUUUUAGGCCCCAUACAUAAUGGAUGAACAUGAGAGAUACAAACAGAUUGAGGAAAACUGGCUCUAUUUGCAUAUGCCUCUCCUACCAUUAAGCCAAGGCCUUUCGAUGUCUCGAAAAAAUAAUGGUAAAGGAAAAGAAAGUUGGUGUGUUUGAAUAUGGAGGAGUUAUCGAUAAUUUCCACAUCGAUGCGUUUUUUUUCUCGUUAAUGCUCGUUGAUCGAUGUCGACACUUUCUGAUAAAACGGAGGGAACGUCCGCCAAUAUUUAUACGGAUAUUGUGCAGUGACGAUCAUCGCGCGAGAGAGAGAGAGAGAAAAAAAACAUUCGUUUCGCUCGCAGAAUGAUUCAGUAUGCACGAAGCCUUAUCGCAGGUUCGACACGAAGGAUGACCGACACGAAAGCGUGCAAGAGAUACGCUGUACGAGCACGAAUAGGCCGGACCAGCUGACUGCCAAAACAGCUGUGGCGAUACACGUGAUGAUGGAUCACGACUUGCCCUGGUUCACUGGUCCGACGUCUCUGCUUCUCCUUUAGACUCGAUCGACCUCUCGACUCGAUCGCGCGUUUCCAAUUAAACUUCUUUUGUUCUUUCUUUUUUUUUUUUCUUUAAUUAUUUAACGCGUGCAUUAUAUUUAUAUGGAAAUGAGUAAUCAUGUAAUAAAACUAGCGGUAAUGUAAUGACACUUGGCGCGUGGUAACUUAAGUGGCCCCAAAUCCCAAAGUAAUUAUCCCAAAUGAAUAGCGCAAUAUGUUAUAAUUUAUAUACAAUGAUAAUUAAAAAAUAUAAAAAGUAAUCUUUUUAAGGCCAA